AUUGAACGCUGGCGGCAUGCCUUACACAUGCAAGUCGAACGGUAACAGGUCUUCGGAUGCUGACGGGUGGCGAACGGGUGAGUAAUACAUCGGAACGUGCCCGAGAGUGGGGGAUAACGAGGCGAAAGCUUUGCUAAUACCGCAUACGAUCUCAGGAUGAAAGCAGGGGACCGCAAGGCCUUGCGCCCACGGAGCGGCCGAUGGCAGAUUAGGUAGUUGGUGGGAUAAAAGCUUACCAAGCCGACGAUCCGUAGCUGGUCUGAGAGGACGACCAGCCACACUGGGGCUGAGACAAGGCCCAGAAUCCUACGGGAGGCAGCAGUGGGGAAUGUUGGACAAUGGGCGCAAGCCUGAUCCAGCCAUGCCGCGUGGAGGAUGAAGGCCUUCGGGUUGUAAACUGCUUUUGUACGGAACGAAAAGACUCUGGUUAAUACCUGGGGUCCAUGACGGUACCGUAAGAAUAAGCACCGGCUAACUACGUGCCAGCCGCCGCGGUAACAC
rnacentral:rRNA from 1 species